rnacentral:siRNA from 1 species
UGAGGAUGGUGAGCCGGUCAUUA